rnacentral:rRNA from 1 species
GAUGAACGCUGGCGGCGUGCCUAACACAUGCAAGUCGAGCGAAGCACUUUGCUUAGAUUCUUCGGAUGAAGAGGAUUGUGACUGAGCGGCGGACGGGUGAGUAACGCGUGGGUAACCUGCCUCAUACAGGGGGAUAACAGUUAGACAUGACUGCUAAUACCGCAUAAGACCACAGCACCGCAUGGUGCGGGGGUAAAAACUCCGGUGGUAUGAGAUGGACCCGCGUCUGAUUAGCUAGUUGGUAAGGUAACGGCUUACCAAGGCGACGAUCAGUAGCCGACCUGAGAGGGUGACCGGCCACAUUGGAACUGAGACACGGCCCAAACUCCUACGGGAGGCAGCAGUGGGGAAUAUUGCACAAUGGGGGAAACCCUGAUGCAGCGACGCCGCGUGAGCGAAGAAGUAUUUCGGUAUGUAAAGCUCUAUCAGCAGGGAAGAAAAUGACGGUACCUGACUAAGGAGCACCGGCUAAAUACGUGCCAGCAGCCGCGGUAAUACGUAUGGUGCAAGCGUUAUCCGGAUUUACUGGGUGUAAAGGGAGCGUAGACGGAUGGGCAAGUCUGAUGUGAAAACCCGGGGCUCAACCCCGGGACUGCAUUGGAAACUGUUCAUCUAGAGUGCUGGAGAGGUAAGUGGAAUUCCUAGUGUAGCGGUGAAAUGCGUAGAUAUUAGGAGGAACACCAGUGGCGAAGGCGGGCUUACUGGACAGUAACUGACGUUGAGGCUCGAAAGCGUGGGGAGCAAACAGG